GCAGGACAGUCUAGUGGUUAAGGCGUUUGACUCUCAGCCAAAAGGUCCUGGGUUUGAACCCCAUUAUCUGCA